UCGAGGAUCUUUAGCAAUGCCCGAAAGGGUGACUAUGCGACGCCGCGUGCAGGAUGAAGGCCUUCGGGUUGUAAACUGCUGUCAGGGGGGAAGAAACCUUAUUGGUUAAUAGCCGAUAAGCUGACAUCACCCCCAAAGGAAGCCACGGCUAACUCUGUGCCAGCAGCCGCGGUAAGACAGAGGUGGCAAGCGUUGUUCGGAUUCAUUGGGUGUAAAGGGCAGGUAGGCUGUUUUGUAAGUCCGGCGUGAAAUCCCAGAGCUCAACUCUGGAACUGCGUUGGAAACUACAUGACUUGAGUAUCGGAGAGGUUAGGGGAAUUCUCGGUGUAAGGGUGAAAUCUGUAGAUAUCGAGAGGAACACCAGUGGCGAAGGCGCCUAACUGGCCGAUUACUGACGCUGAGCUGCGAAAGCAAGGGGAGCAAACAGGAUUAGAUACCCCUGUAGUCC
rnacentral:rRNA from 1 species